rnacentral:rRNA from 1 species
UACGUAGGGGGCAAGCGUUGUCCGGAAUCAUUGGGCGUAAAGCGCGCGUAGGCGGCCCGGUAAGUCCGCUGUAAAAGUCCAGGGCUCAACCCUGGAAAGCCGGUGGAUACUGUCGGGCUCGAGUCCGGAAGAGGCGAGUGGAAUUCCUAGUGUAGCGGUGGAAUGCGCAGAUAUCAGGAGGAACACCGAUGGCGAAGGCGGUUCUCUGGGCCUUACCUGACGCUGAGGAGCGAAAGCGUGGGGAGCGAACAGG